GAGUAGGUACCUGCUUGGCUUUGGAAUUUUAUGCUUUUUUUUUUUUUCUUUUCUUGUUAGUAAGCUGCCAGACCCUAAGUCCUUUCAGGAUGGUGAUUAUUUUCUUGCACAGAGGAAGCGGGGAGAGGAGAAAGUGUUCUCUCACAUGCAGCUGAUCUGCUGGGGGAGCUGUGUUCUCUCCUUUAAGUCCUGGAAGGAGCCAAUGUUUGACAUAAAGGAUGCAGCUAGCACUCACACCUGGGCUGUCUGGCUUGGCCAAGAUCCCUCUGCUGUAGAGCAGCAAUGGUGCCAUUCCUAUACCCAUAGUCCCACCCUCCAGUGGAAGCCUUCCGGGUGUCAUACAUUGGUUCGUAGUCUGAUUCUGUUGCUUUGGUCUCUUUUUGGUUUAUAAAAUGUUAUCUAAGGCUAUUCAGUUUUCAUUCCCUGUCUUGGAAGUGAGACGGAAAUACCUCUCACAAAGUUCCUGGUGUGAGAAUUAAAGAAGCGAAGAUCCUUGCUCUUUAAACUGCUUAUCCUUAAAGAUGUAUUGAGUACUGCCUUCUCACCGAGAGAAUUAAUGGGAUAGCUAUUUGCCAAAUGUGGGGAUUUUAUGUAUAGUCUUGCUUAUUUUUGUUUUGUUUUGCUGUCAAUCUCUGGAUUGAUAGAUACCCCCAUCUCUUAAUCCAUGACAUUUACCUAAUUCAACUGUGCUACGUAAAAGCAACCGGCAUUGUAGAAGUAAACAAUACACUACGUAUAAACUUUAACGUGAUUAGUGACUUAAGCAAGAACAAGAAGUUGUCAUGUUCUACUAAGUUAUGUGAUAGGGGCAUGGCAUCCUUUCCAUGAGACCAUCAUGCAUCCAUCCACCCAUCUGUCCAUUCAUUGCUUAGCUCAUAUUCAAAACCACCCCACUUUAUUUGAUUAGACAUGUAUUUGUGUAGUAGGUUUAUUUAGACACUAGUGUUAUAUAAGUUUGCAUUUAUUUUUCUUGGGGAAAAUGGUAGAAUCUCCUCUAAUAUGAUCUGAGGUUGCGAGUGUUUUCUUCCUUCCUUCCUUCCUUUCUUCCUGUAACAAUUUAUUGUCUAAGUCUUUAAAAUAUAUAGAAUUGCUCCUACUUGAAUUGAAGCCGUAAUCGUUAGUCAUAUUUUUCAUUAUGUUCAAGAGUCUGCUUGCAUCUCUUGGCAGCAUGGUCAUGUCUCUGUCUUGGUUAAUAUGUUCAUGUCUCUUAGAGACAUCAUUUCUAAGAUGGAGCUUAACUGGAAGUUGGAAAUCACCUAAAAGGUGUGUGUGGUUAAUAUGUUGAAUGAACAUAUUAACCAAGGGUCUGCUUUCAAGAACUGUAGGAUUUGGCUAGUUACUGGUUCAGUUAUGUAAUCCAUUCACCCCCACAAGAUCUUACUGAAUAUCUCUCUAACUUUCUGGGACUAUUACACCAUUGCCUUGGGAGUGUAUGUGCAAAGAAUCCCCAGGUUUCUGUGACAUGGUACAUGUAAUGUUGCAAGCACCAAAUGUGCUUCACUUCAAAUAUCAAGGAACUCUUGGAGGAAAAAAAAAAUAACAAAUUGUCAACUAGAUGCUAGAAGAAAUAAAUGGUAUUGACAUCUUUUAGUAAUCAGUUUUAUUAUUUAAUAAAUAUUGAUGGCAAGUUUCACCAUCUACUGCGUUCCCAAUGAUGCUUGCUAGUUAAGUACCAGAGAGAGAGCUGGCCCUCUGUUUAGCCUGGCUGUCAUUUCAGUGAUGAAAGGAAAGGGACCUCAAUGCUAAGGUCCUAUUUGUUAAGUAUACACUGAUGCAAACCAGUCGAAGGCCUUACAAACUGGCUGCUUAAGAGCCAGACUUCUUUUUAAAUUAUCACAAAACACGUGGAUUCUUACAUACAGCUCCAGUCUGUGCUCGCCUCCCCCCCCUACACUUCACACUCAAGAUUUAUCACGAAUGAUAUUUCUGUCACCAAGACAUCUUCAGGGUCUGAGAUUGAAGAACUGUCUCAGUUGACAAGGCACUGACUUGAGUUCUUGUUGAGUGACACGUACUUCAAGGGCAGCAAAGCAAAACCCACACACCACUGGAUGACAGUGCAUCUUGCCUCCCUGGGCAUCAUUCACAAAGAACCCUUCAAAGUUGUACAUCUUUAUUUACCAAUACAAAUGUGCACUUUUGAAAUGUUAGAAUUUUUUUUGGCAUCAGCUAAUGAAUCCUAAAAGCUUAAUGUUCUAGUCCUAUUUGAACUAUUUUUCUUCCAUAUGUCAAGUCAAAAGACCUUAAAGUCUCUUUCACCUUAUCAAAUUAAAGUAUUUAGUGGUAUCCUUUCUUAAAGAAAUCAUAUCAUUACCUUUAAAACCAUGCAUUAUAGUCCAUUGAAGUAAGAGUUUAUAUAUAAUUGAUGGAGAGGCCUUUACAUCUUUGCAAAACGUGCAAGAAAAUAGAUUUAAUGAAGAUGAAAAGAGGUCAUUGUUUAUGGAAAUAGUCCAGAGCUUCUAGCAGUCACACCCAGAACAUUAGGUAAGAUCUAGAGGCAGUCCACUAAAUAAGGGGUUUCUCUGACAACAACGCAGGGACAAUAGCGACAAUCCCACCCCAACUUCUCUCUCCAAAUUCCAGCAUCCAAGUUCCGGUUUUCACACUGUGUCCUGUGGCAGUGGGCAACCUGGCUUUGGGUGUUAACACUGAGGGUGGUUUAAAAGGGUACAAAUAGGAUCCUGUCAGAUUGACAACUAACUGUUCUAAUGAGGAAAAAAUCCUCAAAGCAUGAAAUUUGAAUGAAAUGUGUGAUUAUAAUUCAAGUACUGUUUACACAAACCUCUGGGGACCUUCCGAAUAAAUGCAGAGCAAGUGAGUUAGACAAACCUCUGGGCCCUGUGGUCUGUGUGUGUGUGUGUGUGUGUUAGUGUGGGGGAAACUUUCCACCCUUAGCUAAGCCUCUACUCUUCAGUCCACUCCAGCCUUCCGUUGUCUAUUAAUACUGUAUGUGUUUUGUUACCGCGUUGAGUCGUAAGGAAAUAGGUGCUUUGCAUUAUUAAAGUUGAUUCUGAAGAGUAGAUGUGUGCUCAGUGGCAUUUGCCUCGGCAUAUGCAAAUGAUUUAGUUUCAUUUGGGAUCAAUUCCCAGAGGCCCUCCUUUCCUGUGGUGCUCUGAAUUUGGCAAGCUCAAGUCAGCCCAUCUUCCCCCCCUUCUUUCCUUUUUUUUUUUUAACUCCCCUUUUGUUAGUUGAUAUAUUUUUCAAAGGACAACAAAAAUAUUCCCCCUGCUUGGUAGAAACCUUGCAAUUCUAUUGUUCAGUGGUGAUCAAUGAAGGUGAAGGGAGGUUUUCGGUUUCCUAAAGUUUAGUAAAAUUUAAGUUU
rnacentral:lncRNA from 1 species